rnacentral:tRNA from 3 species
GGUAAGGUAGGUCAAGUUUAGGUCAACGGGCUCAUGCCCCGGAGGUACACCAAGUGUUCUUACUG